rnacentral:rRNA from 1 species
GUAGGGUCCAAGCGUUAAUCGGAAUUACUGGGCGUAAAGCGUGCGCAGGCGGUUGUGCAAGACCGAUGUGAAAUCCCCGAGCUUAACUUGGGAAUUGCAUUGGUGACUGCACGGCUAGAGUGUGUCAGAGGGGGGUAGAAUUCCACGUGUAGCAGUGAAAUGCGUAGAGAUGUGGAGGAAUACCGAUGGCGAAGGCAGCCCCCUGGGAUAACACUGACGCUCAUGCACGAAAGCGUGGGGAGCAAACAGGAUUAGAUACCCUGGUGGUCCACGCCCUAAACGAUGUCAACUAGUUGUUGGGGAUUCAUUUCCUUAGUAACGUAGCUAACGCGUGAAGUUGACCGCCUGGGGAGUACGGUCGCAAGAUUA